rnacentral:rRNA from 1 species
CCUAAGGCGAGGUCGAAAGACGUAGUCGAUGGAUAACAGGUUGAAAUUCCUGUACUGCAUAUCAUCAGAACUGUGGGGACACAGAGAGAUACCGGAACCUGGGAAUGAAGAUACCAGGGCAAGCGAGGUAGGUGCUAAGCUGGCAAAACCGCUUAGUAAGCCGAAGACGUGAUGCGGAGCGAAUUAAAGUAGCGAAGUCCGGGAUUCGAGCUGUCGAGAAAAGCCGCUAUUGUGUGAUAUGUACCCGUACCGUAAACCGACACAGGUGGAUGAGGAGAGAAUCCUAAGGCCGGCGGGAGAAGCAUUGUUAAGGAACUCGGCAAAAUGACCCUGUAACUUCGGGAUAAAGGGUGCCACAGAGAUGUGGCCGCAGAGAAUAGGCUCAAGCAACUGUUUAGCAAAAACACAGGUCUAUGCAAAACCGAAAGGUGAGGUAUAUGGGCUGACGCCUGCCCGGUGCUGGAAGGUUAAGAGGAGAGGUUAGAGCAAUCGAAGCUUUGAAUUGAAGCCCCAGUAAACGGCGGCCGUAACUAUAACGGUCCUAAGGUAGCGAAAUUCCUUGUCGGGUAAGUUCCGACCCGCACGAAAGGCGUAAUGAUUUGGGCACUGUCUCAACGAUACACCCGGUGAAAUUGAAAUACCAGUGAAGAUGCUGGUUACCUGCGCCAGGACGGAAAGACCCCAUGGAGCUUUACUCCAGCUUGAUACUGGGAUUCGGUAUUGCAUGUACAGGAUAGGUGGGAGACGAAGAGACGGUAACGCCAGUUGCCGUGGAGUCGCUGUUGGGAUACCACCCUUGCAGUACUGGGUUUCUAACCAGCGGCCGUAAACCGGCCGGGGGACAAUGUCAGGUGGGGAGUUUGACUGGGGCGGUCGCCUCCGAAAGGGUAUCGGAGGCGCUCAAAGGUUCCCUCAGAAUGGUCGGAAACCAUUCGAAGAGUGCAAAGGCAGAAGGGAGCUUGACUGCGACACCGACGGGUGGAGCAGGUACGAAAGUAGGACUUAGUGAUCCGGUGGUAUAAAGUGGGAUUGCCAUCGCUCAACGGAUAAAAGCUACCCUGGGGAUAACAGGCUUAUCACUCCCAAGAGUUCACAUCGACGGAGUGGUUUGGCACCUCGAUGUCGGCUCAUCGCAUCCUGG